GAGAGUGGGGUUUGUUAUGCUUGUGCCGUGGCAACUACCAAUGAGAGGAGCGUAUUUGAAAUACGUCAUGGAGCGCCACCUUCGAAAUGUCCUAUUUGACUUGAACUCAGCUGAUCGUUACUGAACUACCUGGAUCUCAAGCCUUGCCUACUUUUUACACGACUGUGGCUAAUAAGAUUUAAAGAAAAAGGUGGGUUCUUAACUGCUACAAUGAAGAUGUACUUGGUAUAAUCAAUUACAUGAUUUCAACAAUUAACAGUUCGUAUUAGUAACAAUAUUACAUGCAGCAACGCUAGAGCGUAUGUUAUUGUAUGCAAGGUACAACGUUUACAUUAUUAGCUAUGGAUACAAUGUAUCAAAACACUAAACUAUCGCUAAUGUCAUGGUGGCUUUCUGCAGAGAAAAUGAGCUCUGGAAAAGCACUGCAGUCGGUGUCUCCUCACUACAACCAACAGCCACCGACACCAAGCCUGGCGAAAAGAAAGAAAAUUCAAGAGAAGUCUGCAAUAAGGAGUCCAACAGACAAUGUGAUGUCCCCAUGUACAAGACAGCUCAUGAAGAAAGCUAUCAAGGACAUACCGUCAUCUCCCAGACCCAGACGGGAAGCAAAAGAGAACACUGCAAAUAAAUGAAUUACCUUUUUAUGUACAGUGUGAUGUCUUUACGGUAUUCCUCUCUCUGCUAAGAUGGGCAGAUAAAUUAAUCAUUGACACUUUCCUGACAUUCUACCGUCUUUUUAAUAUGUUCUUACUAACCAAGCUGCUCACACUUUAUUGAUCCAUUAUGCAAUGUGGUGUAUAUGGGGGGGUUAUAUUCUUCAUUUAUAUGGUGUAUAGGGGGGUUAUAUUCUUCAUUAAUAUGGGGCUGUUAUAUUCUUCAUUAAUAUGGUGUAUACGGGGGGUUAUAUUCUUCAUUAAUAUGGUGUAUACGGGGGGUUAUAUUCUUCAUUAAUAUGGUGUAUACGGGG
rnacentral:lncRNA from 1 species